AGAGGUGUUCUGGGUGUUUUUUGUGUGUUGCAGUUGCUAUGGUGUUCAGAGUGAAAGUGUGCAUGGUGUUUCUUAGCUGACUGCUUUGUAAUUACUGAGGUGUUCAGAGUGUUUUUUAGCGUGUCGCUGUGCGGUUACCAAAGUGUUCAGAGUGUUUUUUAGCGUGUCGCUGUGCGGUUACCAAAGUGUUCAGAGUGUUUUUUAGUGUGUCGCUGUGCGGUUACCAAAGUGUUCAGAGUGUAUUUUAGUGUGCUGCUGUGCAGUUACCAAAGUGUUCAGAGUGUUUUUUAUUGUGUCGCUGUGCGGUUACCAAAGUGUUCCGAGUGUUUUUUAGCAUGUCGCUGUGCGGUUACUGAGGUGUUCCGAGUGUUUUUUAGCAUGUCGCUGUGCGGUUACCGAGGUGUUCCGGGUGUUUUUUAGCGUGUCGCUGUGCGGUUACCAAGGUGUUCCGAGUGUUUUUUAGCGUGUCGCUGUGCGGUUACUGAGGUGUUUCCGUGUGUUUUUUUAGCGUGUCGCUGUGCGGUUACCGAGGUGUUUCCGUGUGUUUUUUAGCGUGUCGCUGUGCGGUUACCGAGGUGUUUCCGAGUGUUUUUUAGCGUGUCGCUGUGCGGUUACUGAGGUGUUCCGAGUGUUUUUUAGCGUGUCGCUGUGCGGUUACCGAGGUGUUCCGAGAGUUUUUUAGUGUGUUGCUGUGCGGUUACCGAGGUGUUUCCGAGUGUUUUUUAGCGUGUCGCUGUGCGGUUACCAAAGUGUUCAGAGUGUUUUUUAGCGUGUCGCUGUGCGGUUACCAAAGUGUUCAGAGUGUUUUUUAGUGUGCUGCUGUGCGGUUACCGAGGUGUUCCGAGUGUUUUUUAGCGUGUCGCUGUGCGGUUACCAAAGUGUUCAGAGUGUUUUUUAGUGUGCUGCUGUGCGGUUACCGAGGUGUUUCCGAGUGUUUUUUAGCGUGUCGCUGUGCGGUUACCAAGGUGUUCCGAGUGUUUUUUAGCGUGUCGCUGUGCGGUUACCAAGGUGUUCCGAGUGUUUUUUAGCGUGUCGCUGUGCGGUUACCGAGGUGUUCCGAGAGUUUUUUAGCGUGUCGCUGUGCAGUUACCGAGGUGUUCCGAGUGUUUUUUAGCGUGUCGCUGUGCGGUUACCGAGGUGUUCCGAGUGUUUUUUAGCGUGUCGCUGUGCGGUUACCAAAGUGUUCAGAGUGUUUUUUAGCGUGUCGCUGUGCGGUUACCGAGGUGUUCCGAGCGUGUU